rnacentral:rRNA from 1 species
GAGUUUGAUCAUGGCUCAGGAUGAACGCUAGCGGCAGGCUUAACACAUGCAAGUCGAGGGGUAUAGUUCUUCGGAAUUAGAGACCGGCGCACGGGUGCGUAACGCGUAUGCAAUCUACCUUUCACAGAGGGAUAGCCCAGAGAAAUUUGGAUUAAUACCUCAUAGUAUAACGACUCCGCAUAGAGAUGUUAUUAAAGUCACAACGGUGAAAGAUGAGCAUGCGUCCCAUUAGCUAGUUGGUAAGGUAACGGCUUACCAAGGCUACGAUGGGUAGGGGUCCUGAGAGGGAGAUCCCCCACACUGGUACUGAGACACGGACCAGACUCCUACGGGAGGCAGCAGUGAGGAAUAUUGGACAAUGGGCGCAAGCCUGAUCCAGCCAUGCCGCGUGCAGGAUGACGGUCCUAUGGAUUGUAAACUGCUUUUGCACAGGAAGAAACAACGCUACGUGUAGCGUCUUGACGGUACUGUGAGAAUAAGGAUCGGCUAACUCCGUGCCAGCAGCCGCGGUAAUACGGAGGAUCCAAGCGUUAUCCGGAAUCAUUGGGUUUAAAGGGUCCGUAGGCGGUUUAGUAAGUCAGUGGUGAAAGCCCAUCGCUCAACGGUGGAACGGCCAUUGAUACUGCUAGACUUGAAUUAUUAGGAAGUAACUAGAAUAUGUAGUGUAGCGGUGAAAUGCUU